UACAGAGGCCACGAGCGUUAGGCGGAAUCACUGGGCUUAAAGCGUGUGUAGGUGGAUCGGUAAGUACCUUGUAAAAUCCCACAGCUCAACUGUGGAACUGCUUGGUAUACUGCCAGUCUUGAGGCACUCAGGGGCGAGCGGAACAAGUGGUGGAGCGGUGAAAUGCGUAGAUAUCACUUGGAACGCCAAUGGUGAAGACAGUCUGCUGGGGACUUGCUGACGCUGAGACACGAAAGCCAGGGGAGCGAACGGG
rnacentral:rRNA from 1 species